UUAAAAAAUUCAAAUUUUAAACGUUUUUUCAGAUAUUAAUUUCAAAAAGUUAAAUAUUAAUAUAAUUAUUCAUUUUCUUUUUUUGAGAAAUUUUCAUUUUUAGCGGCAAAUCCCAAACUUUUUCCUCUGUCUUUUCAGUUCCCUACCUAAGCACUCUCUCACUCUACCUCUCCCAAACCCUCACGCAUCUCAUAGAGAAACCACCCUCUCCCCGAAUUCUAUCACAUAAUGAGCCCUCUCUGUCUCUUCGAUACGGCCGUCGAUGAGGGGACGACUAUUCUCAAAUGUUCUCUGGUGGCCCCUCUAUGCUCUGGCAAUUUUGUUUUUCAUUUAUGUUUUGAGCAAAGGUUAGUUAUUCAAUUAUUUAGUCAAGAAACUCAUUCCUUUAUAUAUUUUAUUUUGAAAUGGUUUGUUUAUGUGAUUCAGAUGUUUUUUCGAAUGAUUUUUUUAGGGUGUUGGUGAGGUAUAUUUUUUAUAUUCUGAUAUUCUGAUAUUGCUGAGGAUAUUGGGAAGUUAGUUCCCUCUUUUCACCUGGUUUUUUCUUUGCUUUCUUUGGAAAAUAGUUUAAAAAAAUUGUAUGUAUUGUUUUGUGAAUGAGUAAUAUACAGUACUGACUGAUAAAGCUUGGGUUGAAUUUUAGUUUUAUUUACAAUUUUUUUUAAUUUAAUGGUAUAGGUAGGUAAAAUUUAGUUGAUUUUUUUUAGUUAAUUUAUGCCAUUAUGAAAUGGUACAACAACUAUAUUAAAGAUGCAUGUAGUUUUUAGUAUUCCACCAAACUUGUUUUUCAUUUUUUUUCUUCUUGAUUUGCCAACAAAUACUCGAUUGUUUCUGUAUUCAUUAGCUUUGGCAAAUAGAUUUUAAUUAACAUAUGGGAAUAUAAUAGCUUCUAUUUAAUUUAAUGAAAGAAGCACCAAAUUUAUGUAGAGUACCAAAAUUAGUUAAUGAUUGGUUUUAUGAGAAAAGAGAUAUACUAUUGGGCAUGGAGCAUAUGGAUUUGGUUCGAGCUGCCAUUUACAAUUCAAGUGAGUUUUUUUUUUCUUUAAAUAAAUAUAAUAAUAGCAAGAUGCCUUCAAAUCUGUGUGGUACAGUUCAGGGUAUUGCAUAUGGUACACGUCACAUUGUGAAGCACUGCAAUGCCCAUGGUCACAAGACAAUAAUAUCAAUCUGGACACAUUUUAACACCUUCAUUUUAGUUUAACACUACCCUUGUAAAAUAUGUCUACUUUCUUCUAUUUUUAAAAUAUUUUAUAAAAUGCUACAUUCUUUAAUAAAAGGUUACAGGAUAAUCAUGUAUUAUAAUUCUUUGAUACGGAUUGCGUGCACUGUUUUGACUAAUUUCCUUAUUGUUUCUUCUUUCAGAUUGACACAAUACUUGCUUGGGGUGGCCUUGCCAAACUCAUUAUUCAUUCAAGAAAAUUCAGUUAUAAUUGGUACUUUGUCUCCCUCCCUCCAUUUCUUCAUUCCAGUUUCUUGUCUUUGCUAUUAUACUUUAAUGUUCAACAAUUUAGUUAUUUCUUCAUUAUUGGUGUCCAUUUAUAUUUAUUUGCAUUCCGUUUAAGGCCCAAUUUCAUUUGAAUUUUUAGAUUUCCUUGUGAAUCGGAUAAGGUUACGAUGCAAUGAGUAUUUAAGGAACAAAAGUUACAAGUAGAUUAAUAGAAAUCAACUCUUGCAGCCUUCUUGCUAUUUUUGGAUAGAAUUUAUCUGUUUAUUUAUUUUCUCAUUUCUGUGUUAUAUACUCAUGUAAGAAGUCAUUUUAGUGAUCCUUUAUUGUUUCUGUGUCCGCCUUUGAACAUCUCUACACUAAUUGUUCUUCACAGGCUGCCUAAUUGUUUUGCCAUGAGAAAGCGAGUCUGUGCUCUUGGGUGUUGCCAUUCUCGGUUUUGUUGCUGCAAGAAAAUAUUCCAGCGUGCAUGACGCUAUGAAGGCUCUAAAUGCAGCUGGUCAAGUAAUUCAUCCCUCUAAAGAUCCUAAGGUGGAGAAGUACUACAAAGAGAAAUACCGCAUCUUUAGUGAGCUGUACGAACAAUAAAUAUCUCAUUGCUCUCUCAUGGAUCAAGCAUUGUCAUAGCUAUUUUGCUCACCAACAAAAAAGAAAGGUGACUAAUGGCCCUGUUAUACUGCAUAUGAAUGAUUGCUUUCUCAUCAAGUAAGUUAUCUUUUUUUUCCUCUUGAUUUAAAAAGACAAUUGUCUUUUCUGGAACUUGUUUAUUUCCAUGACAACAAGAAAUACAUUAAAAUGGACCUAAAUAAUGCUUACGUGGACAUGCCACGUCAUGAGGACAAAUUUUGGGAUAACACUAGUAAAAUAAAAAGAAAAAUUAUAAGUUUGUUAAGGAUAAAGUCAUUGGAGCAGGAAGAAAUUUAGGUUCUAAUCCUUUUGUAUUUUUCCUAUAGUUCUUUCUUACACAUAACACUCGAGGUUUUUGCAGGAAAAUUGGUAUGCCAUUGUCAAUUUGAGUUAUUCUCAAUAAGUAAGUGUUUAUUUUUUCUUCAUUCUACUGCUAUGUACUCUUAGACACAGUUUUGAGCUUCAAAAUAAAUAGUAGAUGUAUUUUGAUUUUUCUCGUUAAUCGAGAUACAGCUAUUAGUUGUUUUUUAUUUGUAGUGACAACUUAAAAUGAUAAUGUGCUAUUCGUAGUGGAAGGAUUCUUCAAUGUGACUCCCAAUAAACAGUUCAAGCAAUACGGGCAUCGUGAGAGAAUUUUUUAAGAGUUUGAGGGGCAUGUGCUUCUUGCUUUUGAGUUGGAGCCAGAUUAGGGCCUUCACAUUUUUUUUUUUGUUUAUUGUAUUGUUAGUUUCUUUGUUGUUCAUUUAGUUUGGUUUAUACUAGGUAGCUUAUUCUAUUUUUUUUGUUGGUAACUCUGAUGUAUUAAGUUUGCUUUUUAAGUUGAUCAUGAGCAAAGUACAAUUCAAGCAAGACCAAUAUUGUAAUUGAAAUGAUUGACAUUGUAAUUUUUUAUUGAAUGAAUAAAUAUGUAUAAUAUUGUUUAAA